GACACCCCUUGUGGGUGAAGGGUUUUGGUGGAGCGCGGGACCUGAUCCUGGGAGGCAAGCGUAUUAACAGGUGUGACGCAGGAAGGUAGCCGAGCCGGGCGAUGGUUGUCCCGGUCUAAGGAUGUAGGGCGAACGGUAGGCAAAUCCGCCGUUCAUGAUGCCUGAGACCCGAUGGGACUCCCGUAAGGGGGGAUUCGGUGAUCCUAUGCUGCCUAGAAAAGCAUCGACGCGAGGUUUUAGCCGCCCGUACCCCAAACCGACACAGGUGAUCAGGUAGAGAAUACUAAGGCGAUCGAGAGAAUUAUGGUUAAGGAACUCGGCAAAAUGCCCCCGUAACUUCGGGAGAAGGGGGGCCCCCAUCGUGAUGGACACUUGCUGUCCGGAGCGUGCAGGGGCCGCAGAGACCAGGGGGAAGCGACUGUUUACUAAAAACACAGGUCCGUGCGAAGUCGCAAGACGAUGUAUACGGACUGACUCCUGCCCGGUGCUGGAAGGUUAAGAGGACCGGUUAGCCGCAAGGCGAAGCUGAGAAUUCAAGCCCCAGUAAACGGCGGUGGUAACUAUAACCAUCCUAAGGUAGCGAAAUUCCUUGUCGGGUAAGUUCCGACCUGCACGAAUGGAGUAACGACUUCCCCGCUGUCUCAACCAUAAACUCGGCGAAAUUGCAGUACGAGUAAAGAUGCUCGUUACGCGCAGCAGGACGGAAAGACCCCGAGACCUUUACUAUAGUUUGGUAUUGGUGUUCGGAGUGGCUUGUGUAGGAUAGGUGGGAGACGUUGAAGCCCGGACGCCAGUUCGGGUGGAGUCAUCGUUGAAAUACCACUCUGGUCACUUUGGACAUCUAACUUCGGCCCGUAAUCCGGGUCAGGGACAGUGCCUGAUGGGUAGUUUAACUGGGGCGGUUGCCUCCUAAAAAGUAACGGAGGCGCCCAAAGGUUCCCUCAGCCUGGUUGGCAAUCAGGUGUCGAGUGUAAGUGCACAAGGGAGCUUGACUGUGAGAGAGACAUCUCGAGCAGGGACGAAAGUCGGGACUAGUGAUCCGGCGGUACAUUGUGGAAUGGCCGUCGCUCAACGGAUAAAAGGUACCUCGGGGAUAACAGGCUGAUCUUGCCCAAGAGUCCAUAUCGACGGCAUGGUUUGGCACCUCGAUGUCGGCUCGUCGCAUCCUGGGGCUGGAGUAGGUCCCAAGGGUUGGGCUGUUCGCCCAUUAAAGCGGUACGCGAGCUGGGUUUAGAACGUCGUGAGACAGUUCGGUCCCUAUCCGCUGCGCGCGCAGGAAAUUUGAGAAGGGCUGUCCUUAGUACGAGAGGACCGGGACGGACGAACCUCUGGUGUGUCAGUUGUACUGCCAAGUGCACCGCUGAUUAGCUACGUUCGGAUGGGAUAACCGCUGAAAGCAUCUAAGCGGGAAGCUCGCUUCGAGAUGAGAUUUCCAUACACCUUGUGUGUGAGAGGCCCCCAGCCAGACCACUGGGUUGAUAGGCCGGAUGUGGAAGCGAGGACUAACGACUCGUGAAGCUGACCGGUACUAAUAGGCCGAUAACUUACACCAC
rnacentral:rRNA from 1 species